AUCAGACCUCUAAUCGGAAAAGACUACCCGCUGAGU
rnacentral:rRNA from 2 species